AGUCGCUUGAGGGCGACAAAGAAAUGGUCUUUGAAAAUUAAACAGAAGAUAUUAACAUAAACCAGCAAUUCUUUUAUAAGUAAUAUGAGUAUAGAUUAAACUUUUAAAUUGAGAGUUUGAUCCUGGCUCAGG
rnacentral:rRNA from 1 species